ACCCAAAAAUUUAAAUGAUCUAGAAGCUGGCAACGUGACUGAAUGUUCAUUGACCCCAUCGCGAAUGGGGGUCAACAUGUUUGCGGAAGCCGCUCGUGGUGCAGAACCCGGCUUGGGUUCAGUGCGCCGUCCAAAACUGGACAAAGUGCAGCACAAACAGAUAGAAAACUUCCGCUCAGCGGAUUUUGGCAAUAACCAAAACUGAUCGGCAUCGGCCGGCACAGGAAACCUGAUGCGGUGGCAGCGGCCAUUGAACGGCACGGUGCUUAUAAGAGCUGGAUGACCACUUCUCAGGUUUUAGUUCUAAGCCAUACGUUCUUUGAUUUGUGGCGGUGAUGUGGUGACGGUGUGUUCCUUGGUAGCGAAAGAUCGCACUGAACUCAACUUCCCGCAAGGAAGUGUUUCGUUUCGCUUCGUUUCGGAAGUAAUACAAUUGUCGCGUUGUCCUGAAUUUAUAUCGAGUUAUCUAAGGAAAUAGUAGCCGUGAUUUAACAUAAAAAUCCUUUACAUAUCACAGUUGCUGUUUCUUUUAGAUAGCUCUUUUGUAAGCAGCCUAGAUCGGGGGCGAUUCGAGUGAGUGAAUCCCUUUCCGGUUCUGUGAUGGUGCGUGCGAAACGUGUGUCUCUUUUGGUUUCAAUUUAUGGGAUGCACCAAGUUCAGUUUUGUCACAUUUCGAGCAUCACUGGGCUUUGUUUAUCUCAUAAGAGCGAAACUUAUUCAACUGUUUCGGGUACUCAAAUCCAUAGCCGUAAUAUGAUCUCCGUUUCCGUACGAUGCAGAUGGUUGACAGGGGACUCAAUGGAAGCUGCUGAAUCGGUCUUCAUAAGUAUGCAACGCUAUUCCAUAGUAUAUAUAGUAUAUCUUUUCUCUUUAGAUCAUACAAGAACGUUUUUAGGUACUCUUCAGAAUCUGCAACGCCAGAGCUUAAUUGGAUACCAAAUGUAGGCUUAAUUUAUUACUUUCUGAUUAGUUUGACCAGGCAGGGACCACCACAAAUUAUAGACUUAGGGGACUACUACAGAUUACAGCGUAAAAAUGCAAUUGGAAUAUAAAAAAAUAAACACAAA